rnacentral:rRNA from 1 species
GCCACGGAGAGUUUGAUUCUGGCUCAGAACGAACGCUGGCGGCGUGGAUAAGACAUGCAAGUGGAACGCUGGUCGUCGGGUAGCAAUAUCCGGCGGCCGGAGUCGCGAACGGGUGAGUAACACGUGGGUAAUCUGCCGCGAAGACCGGUAUAACCCGCCGAAAGGUGGGCUAAUUCCGGAUGUGGUCCCGUGGGGGCAUCCCUGCGGGAUUAAAGGGUGGGGACCGCAAGGCCUGCCGCUUCGCGAGGAGCCCGCGGCCUAUCAGCUAGUUGGUAGGGUAACGGCCUACCAAGGCUAAGACGGGUAGCUGGUCUGAGAGGACGACCAGCCACACUGGGACUGAGA